rnacentral:tRNA from 1 species
GUCGGAAUGGCGGAAUUGGUAGACGCGCAAGGUUGAGGGCCUUGUGAACAAUAUUGUUCAUGGGGGUUCAAGUCCCCCUUCCGACACCA